ACACUGCACUCCAGCCUAGGCAACAGAGCAAGAGCCUGUCUAAAAAAAUAAAUAAAUAAAAUAGUAAAACAGCCAAGCUUGUACCACAGAGUCUUCAAGGUCCCAGGCCCUAUCUAUCUCAUGCUCCGCCAUAUCCAGUGCUGGCCCUCGGAUCAGAAUGGUGUCAUCACUCCACUGUCCACCCAGAGAGAAGGCGAGACAUCCAUAUCCCCGAUCCAUUUAGCUAUGAGAAGCUGGAAAAUGGCUGUGAGUCGGCCUCUUGUCCGGUUAGAACUAACUCAGGUUGCGCACCUCCAGUCUCCUCUUCCGGCAGGAAGAAAGCAUUCCUAUCACUUCCUGCUUCUCAAGCCCUACUGUUUCAGCGAUCCUCAUUGGAGGAAUCAGCAGUCGAAAGAAGAGCAGGCCAAGCACUCUCGUGACGUGGCUUUCAGAGAGCGGAAGUUGUCAUAUUUCACCGAGCCGUAAAGCGCGCUGGCUGUGUCAUCUUCCGGUUAGCGACAACGGCUCUGACCGUCCGACAGUCCGCGUGGCGCCCGCACCGGCCUUCCUGCGGCGGACUCUGCCGGAGCCUUCCAGAUUCCGUUUGUUUCCCUGUUGUCGCACGCUGCACCCUGGAUCAUGUUCAAGAAGUUUGAUGAAAAGGAAAGUGUGUCCAACUGCAUCCAGUUGAAAACGUCAGUUAUUAAGGGCAUUAAGAGCCAACUGAUAGAGCAAUUUCCAGGUAUUGAACCAUGGCUUAAUCAAAUCAUGCCUAAGAAAGAUCCUGUCAAAAUAGUCCGAUGCCACGAACAUACAGAAAUCCUUACCGUAAGUGGGGAAUUAUUGUUUUUUAGACAAAGAAAGGGGCCUUUUUGUCCAACUCUAAGGUUGCUUCACAAAUACCCUUUUAUCCUGCCACACCAGCAGGUUGAUAAAGGAGCUAUCAAAUUUGUACUCAGCGGAGCAAAUAUUAUGUGUCCAGGUUUAACUUCUCCUGGAGCUAAGCUGUACCCUGCUGCAGUAGAUACGAUUGUUGCAGUCACAGCGGAAGGAAAACAGCAUGCUCUGUGUGUUGGGGUCUUGAGAAAGUCAACAAAGGAAUUGGCAUUGAAAACAUUCAUUAUUUAAAUGAUGGGCUGUGGCACAUGAAGACAUAUAAAUGAGCCUCAGAAGGAAUGCGUUUGGGGGACUAAAUGUGGAUAUUGAUUGUGCUGUAUGUGUGUUUGUGUCUGUGUGUAACAGCGUGAAAACACUGCCUCUGUGGUUAUACUAAAUAAGUUUAACAGAUACUUUAAAGAAAACAAAUCAGGGUGCUGUUACCACAGAGGAAAAAACAAAUUAGGGGACAAGCAGCAAGCAGUCGGCUACACUCUGGAAUCUGAAAGCAGCGGCUGGACCCUGUGACUCUCAAGCUCCACAGCCUCUCUUGUCCUCUUUUUAGGAAGCUUGGAAGCAAACAAGAAUAUUCUAACAUCAGGAUGUUUACCACAAGGCCCCCCACAAAAGCAGCCUUGGGGACUCCCGCCUUUCCUUAAGACCUGCAUCUCUUAGCUUCUUCAUUGUCUGCUAAUGAACUAAGGCUGCCGCUAACCUUCUUCAUCCCUUUGGUGGCAAAGUAGAAAGAUUCCAGAAUUAACUCAGACUCUCUUUUAGACCUGGGCUCAGUGGCAGUUGACACUAACUGAGUACCCGCUAUGUGCCAGGCACUGUGCUGAAUGCAUUGUAAGGACUUUCUUAUUCCCCACAGGAGCCCUAAGAGGGGGUGCUAUUAUCCCCUCUUUACAGACAAACCGAAGCUCAGAGAGGGAACUGCCUCCCUCAGGGUCACCCAGCUACAAGUGACAAAGCCUGUGCUUCUAACACCAAAGACCACUUCCCACUGACCCUGUGCCAGGCUUGAAUUCUCUCUGGGCCUCCGUUCCCUCCUCUAGGAAAUUGGAGGGCUUGGGGUAGCUCCAGUGAGCUCUCCCCUUCCUGAAAUUCCUACCAAUGUGCGGCAGCCAAGGCUUAGCCCCCCAGCCUGUGAACCCCUGACAGUGCCCACAGCCAUGCCCUCCUCCAUCCAGGGGCUGACAGGUGGGAGGGGCAGCCCCACCCUGGGGAGUGGACUUACCCAGCCUCUCU